rnacentral:ncRNA from 2 species
AAAUAGAUUGGGGAUGGAGUCCCCCAUAUAAACCGCCCGGGCUGGGCUGAUGACUCCUACCGGCAG